UGGAUCGAAGCCCGCUGGAUUGGGUGUUUAGUUGUUAAUUAAGAUUUCGCGGGAUCGAGGCCCGUUGGUCCAG
rnacentral:tRNA from 1 species